UACGGGGGGGGUAAGCGUUGUUCGGAAUUACUGGGCGUAAAGGGCUCGUAGGCGGCCAACUAAGUCAUACGUGAAAUCCCCAGGCUUAACCUGGGAACUGCGUCUGAUACUACAAGGCUUGAGUGCGGGAGAGGGAUGUGGAAUUCCAGGUGUAGCGGUGAAAUGCGUAGAUAUCUGGAGGAACACCGGUGGCGAAGGCGGCAUCCUGGACCGACACUGACGCUGAGGCGCGAAAGCUAGGGGAGCAAACGGG
rnacentral:rRNA from 1 species